ACUUGAGUCCUCCUUGAGGAAUAUUUCUCAAUGGUCGGAAGACUGAACCAGCCAAGUCGCGUGCAGGAAGACGGUCCUAUGGAUUGUAAACUGCUUUUGUACGGGAAUAAAGUGCGGGACGUGUCCCGUUUGGAAUGUACCGUAAGAAUAAGGGUCGGCUAACUCCGUGCCAGCAGCCGCGGUAAUACGGAGGACCCGAGCGUUAUCCGGAUUUAUUGGGUUUAAAGGGUGCGCAGGCGGAGGAUUAAGUCAGCGGUGAAAUUUUCAUGCUCAACAUGAAAACUGCCAUUGAUACUGGUCCCCUUGAGAGAUGUCGAGGAUGGCGGAAUGUGAUGUGUAGCGGUGAAAUGCUUAGAUAUGUCACAGAACACCGAUUGCGAAGGCAGCUGUCCAGAGAUCUUCUGACGCUCAGGCACGAAAGCAUGGGUAUCAAACAGGAUUAGAUACCCUGGUA
rnacentral:rRNA from 1 species